rnacentral:lncRNA from 1 species
UGUUUUCAAACAUAACAGCAGUAUUUAAUCAAUGGAAUUUUCAUGACUCAAUUUGACCAAACAUUGCUGCCAUCCCUGCUCAUAUUAGUGUAGCUUCUGAUACAGAUCACCACCACCAUCACCUCUUAGAUUAUCCUGAGGUCUUGAAUAAGCUGUAACUUUCUGCAAUUGAAAAUUUCUAACACAAAGACAAUUUCAUUGGGCCCUGUCUUGUUUAAUACAUAAUCCUUUGAGUAUUCAGGAUCAGGCUGAUUUCCAGGAUUCUACCUUUAUUGCCCACAUUUGCUGAAUUAUGAA